rnacentral:rRNA from 1 species
AGGGAUCAUUAAAGAGUUGUAAAAAAAACUCCCUAAACCACNUGNNNNUCUACCUAUUUCGUUGCUUCGGCAGGCGGCCCCAGGGNGGGGCCAUGGCCUGUNAAGGUGCCUGCCGGAGGGCACAAAAGCUCGAUUAUUUUAGUGGCCGUCUGAGUUAAGAAAACAAAACAAGUCAAAACUUUCAACAACGGAUCUCUUGGUUCUGGCAUCGAUGAAGAACGCAGCGAAAUGCGAUAAGUAAUGUGAAUUGCAGAAUUCAGUGAAUCAUCGAAUCUUUGAACGCACAUUGCGCCCGCCAGCAUUCUGGCGGGCAUGCCUGUUCGAGCGUCAUUUCAACCCUCAAGCCUUCUUGNNGUUGGGGUGCUACGGGGUAACCCCCGUAGGCCCUCAAGAUUAGUGGCGGGCUCGCUGAAACCCCGAGCGUAGUAGUUUGUCUCCCUCGCUCAGGGCGUUUCGGCGGGUUUCCAGCCGUUAAACCCUCUAAAUUUUCAAGAUUGACCUCGGAUCAGGUAGGAAUACCCGCUGAACUUAAGCAUAUCAAUAAGCGGAGGAAAAGAAACCAACAGGGAUUGCCCCAGUAACGGCGAGUGAAGCGGCAACAGCUCAAAUUUGAAAUCUGGCCCCCAGGCCCGAGUUGUAAUUUGUAGAGGAUGCUUUUGGCACGGUGCCUUCUGAGUUCCCUGGAACGGGACGCCACAGAGGGUGAGAGCCCCGUAUAGUCGGACACCAAGCCUCUGUAAAGCUCCUUCGACGAGUCGAGUAGUUUGGGAAUGCUGCUCAAAAUGGGAGGUAAAUUUCUUCUAAAGCUAAAUACCGGCCAGAGACCGAUAGCGCACAAGUAGAGUGAUCGAAAGAUGAAAAGCACUUUGGAAAGAGGGUUAAACAGCACGUGAAAUUGUUGAAAGGGAAGCGCUUGUGACCAGACUUGUGCCUGGCGAAUCAUCCAGCGUUCUCGCUGGUGCACUUCGCCUGGUUCAGGCCAGCAUCGGUUGUCUCAGGGGGAUAAAAGCUCCGGGAACGUAGCUCNNNCNNNNAGUGUUACAGCCCUCUGCGUAAUGCCUCUGAGGGGACCGAGGUCGCGCUCUGC